rnacentral:rRNA from 1 species
AAACUUUCAACAACGGAUCUCUUGGUUCUGGCAUCGAUGAAGAACGUAGCGAAAUGCGAUAAGUAAUGUGAAUUGCAGAAUUCAGUGAAUCAUCGAAUCUUUGAACGCACAUUGCGCCCGCCAGUAUUCUGGCGGGCAUGCCUGUUCGAGCGUCAUUUC